rnacentral:rRNA from 1 species
UACAGAGGUCUCAAGCGUUUGUUCGGAUUCAUUGGGCGUAAAGGGUGCGUAGGCGGCGCGGUAAGUCGGGUGUGAAAUCUCGGAGCUUAACUCCGAAACUGCAUUCGAUACUGCCGUGCUUGAGGACUGGAGAGGAGACUGGAAUUUACGGUGUAGCGGUGAAAUGCGUAGAUAUCGUAAGGAAGACCAGUGGCGAAGGCGGGUCUCUGGACAGUUCCAUGACGCUGAGGAGCGAAAGCCGUGGGGAGCGAACAGG